rnacentral:tRNA from 1 species
GCCCCUAUAACUCAAUUGGCAGAGUAACUGCCUCUUAAGCAGUGAGCUCCAGGUUCGAGUCCUGGUGGGGGCA